GGCGUACGGGGCGGGGGGGCGGUAGCCCCCCCCCCCAGUUUUUUGGGCAGUCGGGCAAUUUCCCAGUUUUUUGGGCAGUCGGGCAAUAUUCGAUCAACAGUCGGGCAAUUUUGGUUUGCAAUUAAAAAAGUGGGACAAAUUCUGUCAAUUUUGUCUAAAAUUAAGUAAAUUUUUUGGCAAAUUUUGUGAUUUUUGGAAAAUUGGUGUUAUGUUCCGAAAAAUAUUGGUUGUCCGGAAAAUUUUUUUGACCCCUAAAAUGGUACACUGACCGAAAUUUUUUUGGCGACGGGGGGGGGGGUUGGAGGUCGCCAAAAUAAUUUUUCCGAAAAAAAUUUUUUGGGCAAUGUGGAAUUUUUUGGGCAAAAAAGCUACCGCCCCCCCAGAAUUUAGCGGCCCCGUACGCCUAUG